rnacentral:tRNA from 1 species
GAGAGAUGGCCGAGUGGUCGAAGGCGCACGACUGGAAAUCGUGUGUACCCCCAAAAGGGGUACCGAGGGUUCAAAUCCCUCUCUCUCCGCCA